GCCGGUGUGGCUCAGUGGAUAGAGCCUCAGCCUGCAGACUGAAGGGUCCGGGUUCGAUUCCAGUCAAGGGCA
rfam:Myotis davidii contig3840, whole genome shotgun sequence.